UGAAAGAGACACCUGUACCGGGUCUCGAAGUUCACAAGGGCCGCUGGAACAAGGACUGCAGUGCCUAAUAAUGUUUUAAUAAUGCAGCGCCUAAUAAUGGUCCGCAUAUUAAGUACAUGACCUUAUUAAAAGCAAAUUAAGACUGCGGAGACCCCGAGCGCCGGAAGAAGCCACUGUGCACUCCAUAGUGCAUUCCAGCACCCAGGAAACAUGCAGCAGAGUCGGGCAGAGCAAAUGCAGCAGGAGCUGUACCAUCACUACUGCACACCGUACCAGAAAUGUGAGAGAGGGAGCCUAACACCGCAGAGAAGACACCAGCAAAGGUGGCUAUGGCAACGGGCAGCGGACGACGUCCCUCUGACUUCCGGACGCCUCCGCCAACACGUGUGUUACCUGGGGGUAUAAGGGCUUUGGUAGAAGAGUGAGAAACUGGUUUGAGACCAUCAUUCAGAUGCCAACUGCUGGUGACCCUGGAGAAGUCGCCAUCACUCUGUGUCCUAGCAGUUACAACGUAUCCUAAGCUCGGUUGUAUGUACGACGUCUGAAUAAUCCUGAACAGCACUGAGCCAUACUUCAAAUGUUACAACAAUGAGGUUAUAGUUAUAUGUAAAUGACUUUAUUACAAUACACAAAGGAGAUCCUUUAUUAAAAUGGAACUAUGAUCAGAAAUGGGCUGUAACCUUUUGCAUCCAGUUAGAUUUUAGCUGUCUUUUGUCUAUUGCAGUGUAGAAAAUGAAAGGAAACAUCUGAUUGGCUUGUAUGGAUUACAGCAAAUUUCUGCACAUUCAACAAAUAAGGAAAAUAGUAGACUUAAAGGCUUCACGUAAAAUGUUCAAUGUCUUGCCACCUGCCUCUUGUGGGUCUAUAUAGCAUGCAUGAAAUAGUCAGAGUCCUUGCUCUCUGUGCACGGCUGUCCUGCUGUGGUUCCUGGCUCUUAUUUCUUAUAUUAUUGUGCUGCACUUACCCUGAUCCAUCUCUCCAAGCAUAAGUGGUCACACAAAUUGAAAAUACAUUCAAAUCUAAAUUGUGAAGCAAGUUAUAAGCAUACAUUGUAUCUUUAUGACAUGCAAGUACACUUAACCAGACUUAUAGAGAGAAAGAGAGAGAGAGAGAGAGAGAGAGAGAGAGAGAGAUCAAACAAACAAACAAGACAGCACUCAGGAAACAAAUCUUUAGCAGCCAAAAAUAGAAUACAAA